rnacentral:rRNA from 1 species
CAGCAGCCGCGGUAAUACGGAGGGUGCGAGCGUUAAUCGGAAUUACUGGGCGUAAAGCGCAUGCAGGUGGUUCAUUAAGUCAGAUGUGAAAGCCCGGGGCUCAACCUCGGAACUGCAUUUGAAACUGGUGAACUAGAGUACUGUAGAGGGGGGUAGAAUUUCAGGUGUAGCGGUGAAAUGCGUAGAGAUCUGAAGGAAUACCAGUGGCGAAGGCGGCCCCCUGGACAGAUACUGACACUCAGAUGCGAAAGCGUGGGGAGCAAACAGGAUUAGAUACCCUGGUAGUCCACGCCGUAAACGAUGUCUACUUGGAGGUUGUGGCCUUGAGCCGUGGCUUUCGGAGCUAACGCGUUAAGUAGACCGCCUGGGGAGUACGGUCGCAAGAUUAAAACUCAAAGGAAUUGACGG